rnacentral:rRNA from 2 species
AAACCGUUCAGGGGUAAACCUGAGAAACCCAAAAGAUCGAAUGGGGAGAUUCAUCGUCAGCUCAUUUUGUAUAUAUAUGAGUUAUGAUAUGGGUUACUACUUGUAGUAUUGCCUGUACAUUCUUUUAUAUUUUAUUGCAAGAUGUUGUCGGCGUGCACUUCUCCCCUAGUAGGACGUCGCGACCCGUUGAGUGUCGGUCUACGGCCCGAGUGGUAGCCUUUAAUUCUUGUAAUUAAAGACCCUUGGUGUUUCCUGACUGACUGCUCGGCGGUAUUCGUACGGUAUUAAGCCGCAUUUAUGCGUUCAUAUCCGUCGCAAGCGCGGUCAAUUUUUAGUAGUACGGACCUAGUGCCGACGCUAAAAUUGAUCAGCUGUUGGUUGUACGGUAUUCUAGAACUGGCUUAACAUAUACCGGUCUGCGAUGCUACUGCUUUGGGUACUUUCAGGA